UACAGGGGGUGCAAACGUUGCUCGGAAUCAUUGGGCGUAAAGCGCACGUAGGCGGUCUGUUAUGUCGGAUGUGAAAGCCCUUGGCUCAACUGAGGAAGUGCAUCCGAAACUGGCAGGCCAGAGUACUAAAGAGGAUCGCGGAAAUUCCCGGUGUAGAGGUGAAAUGCGUAGAUAUCGGGAGGAACACCAGUGGCGAAGGCGGCUUCCUGCCUGUUCUUGA
rnacentral:rRNA from 1 species